rnacentral:lncRNA from 1 species
GCACGUGUUCGAGAGUAGCUAAAGCUAGAUGUAAAACAAAACUCAAGUCUGGAAAUAAACAUAGACUCUAUCUAAAUAGAGGAGAGGAGGGGGCGCAGCCCCUAGUGGCCAAGAGGGGGCGUGCGACCAGGAAGGGCACGCGACAAGGAGGGGGGGCGUGCAUGCCCCUGGCGCCCAACCCUAGGCGCCCACACAUGGGCCUCCUGUUGGGCCAGCUUCUAUUCUUCUAGGCCUUCAUUCUUUAGUAGCAUGACGAAGGUCAAUUCUCUUACACGGGCCCGGGUAAUUGGCCCAGAAGGUGGC